rnacentral:rRNA from 1 species
ACCCCGGAGCUGCAUGCGAGACUGCCUGGCUCGAGCGCGGUAGAGGCGGGCGGAAUUCCUGGUGUAGCGGUGGAAUGCGUAGAGAUCAGGAAGAACACCGGUGGCGAAGGCGGCUCGCUGGGCCGUUGCUGACGCUGAGGCACGAAAGCGUGGGGAGCAAACAGGAUUAGAUACCCUGGUAGUCCACGCCCUAAACGAUGGACACUAGGCGUCGGGGGGAGCGACCCUCCCGGUGCCGUCGCUAACGCAAUAAGUGUCCCGCCUGGGGAGUACGGCCGCAAGGCUGAAACUCAAAGGAAUUGACGGGGGCCCGCACAAGCAGUGGAGCAUGUGGUUUAAUUCGAUGCAACGCGAAGAACCUUACCUGGGCUUGACAUGCACGUGAAAGCCGGUGGAAACAUCGGUCCUCCUUCGGGACGCGUGCACAGGUGCUG